rnacentral:rRNA from 1 species
UACGGAGGGUGCGAGCGUUAUCCGGAAUUACUGGGUUUAAAGGGUGCGUAGGCGGCUUGGUAAGUCAGGAGUGAAAGUUUGCGGCUCAACCGUAAAAUUGCUCUUGAUACUGCCAGGCUAGAAUCAGGAUGAGGUCAGCGGAAUGUGGCAUGUAGCGGUGAAAUGCAUAGAUAUCAGGAGGAACACCUAUAGCGAAGGCAGCUUGCUGGGACGUAACUGACGCUAAGGCGCGAAAGCGUGGGGAGCGAACAGG